AGAUCCGCCUCCAUCGCAGCCAGAAGCAAGAAGCUGUCUUCCCGCCCCCGCGUGCCUACAAUCAGCCCCAGUCUCCCUGGGAAACCGACGAGCGCACCUGAGCUGGGUUCUGAGCUCCAGCGUUUUGGGGCUAGAAGUUGCGGACUAGUAGCUGAGGCGGCACGGGAGUGUAGGCGCGCGGGGUCGUUGCCGGGGGCACAGAGUGAGAACAAGCAAGGGAGCCCUGCUGAAUUGCAGCUUAGGAAGCCCUGAAUCCUGGAG
rnacentral:misc_RNA from 1 species